CCUUGUGGUGGAACAUCGGACCCAUUCAAGAGGAAGGAUGAAAGCUCUAUAUAGGAACACGAUGUGAAUGGAAGAAACCUGUCAUUAUCCCCAAGAAAUUGAUUGGACAUGAGGAAACCACUCUAAGUGUGACCACUCUAAAGCAUUAGCAAUCAGUCAUUUCACUCUAGGGAGAAAUCAGAGCUGAAUUAUAGAGGAUAGGCUCUCUAGGAAACACCAGAAUUAUCAGUGAAGAAUAUAUUAAAUGGCUCACGGGCUACUGUAAAGCAUAUUUCUAUGGCUUGAGAGUAAAACUCCUAGAACCAGUUCCUGUUUCUGCAACAAGAUGUUCCUUUAGAGUCAAUGAGAACACACACAACCUACAAAUUCAUGCAGGGGACAUCCUGAAGUU
rnacentral:sRNA from 1 species